UACGUAGGGGGCUAGCGUUGUCCGGAAUCAUUGGGCGUAAAGAGCGCGUAGGCGGCCCGGUAAGUCCGUUGUAAAAGUCAAAGGCUCAACCUUUGAAUGCCGAUGGAUACUGCCGGGCUAGAGUCCGGAAGAGGCGAGUGGAAUUCCUGGUGUAGCGGUGGAAUGCGCAGAGUAUCAGGAGGAACACCGAUAGCGAAGGCAGCUCGCUGGGACGGUACUGACGCUGAGGAGCGAAAGCAUGGGGAGCGAACAGG
rnacentral:rRNA from 1 species